AAAAGUCCACUCUUCCAGGUGGGAGUGGCCGGGGAGAAGUGCUUACGGCCCAUCAGGGCAGGUACCAGGGUUCCUAAGGUCGGGGCGGGGAGGGGGGUGGAUCUGAAGGUGGGGACAGAUAAGAGUCACAGCCCACUGUCAGGAGGGGAGGGUCUGGCCACACAAAAUUGUGGGUGUGGCACCUGGGGUGGACGGGCCAGGGUGCACACCUGGGGUCCUUCACCUGUGUGCCUGGUGUUUGGACAUCACCCUUGCUCUGUCUGGCUUCUUGAUCCUGGCCCCACAGCGGCCUGCUGUGUGCUUGUCCUUGCUCUACCUGCUGCUUCAGCAAGACAACCUGGGGGCCCCUGCUGUGCCCCAACUCUGAAGCCCAGGAUCAUGGCUGUGUGCACAGCGCUGCAGAGGGGUCCCCUGUGUGUGCGCCACCACCGAUGGCCAACACCGCUGGUCUCUGAGCUUCAAGCCUCUGGAGGCCCCACAGACGGAAGCACAGGGUGCGCGGGCUCCGCGGUUCUUCCUGUGCAUUUAGCGCCGUCCCACGGAGACGCAACCCUCCGGCUCGGCCGGAACAGCACUUUUCUGUCGCUCAUCUGAUGAUGUUCCAUUGUAUCUCAAACACAGAUUCGUCCCCGUCGGACCAGUGCAGGCCGGCUCUGGUUCAUUUUGAUGUCACCUCCUCAUUUCCUACGACCAUAAACUUGCUUCCAGGCAAACAAGAUGUUCUAGUCUCGUCCUUAUGUGUGCUCGCGUGAAGCCAAUCCACAAACUGUGACUUAAACCUUUCCACACGCAGUCCAGGGGCAUUUAGUUCAUUCACAGUGUUGAGCAAACACCACUUCCCGCUCCAGAAAUACUUUCAUUAACUCAUUGAACAAUAACUUACUCCGCCAGCUCCUUGGUAGCCUCUAUUCUAAUUCCUGCCAGAGUUUGUCUCAGUGUGUCACCUUUUGUGACUGGUUUAGUUACUCAGCCUUUGUGCAGGUCAUCCAGGGUGGAGUGUGACUCAGCGCUCCUGUCUCUCGGGAGUAAACACUGUCCUGUGGUAGGGAUGGGCUACAUUCUGUUUAUCCAUUCAUCCCGAAUAGGCAGGGGGGCCUCCUCCCUGGAAGCAGGAGGGAGGUGUCACUGUGCGGGAAGGAAGGGGUGACACACAUAGCUGUCGGAGAAGAAUGGGUAGG
rnacentral:lncRNA from 1 species